GACUCGAUAGCUCAGCCGGUAGAGCAUAACACUUUUAAUGUUAGGGUCCUGGGUUCGAAUCCCAGUCGGGUCACCA
rnacentral:tRNA from 1 species